rnacentral:rRNA from 1 species
UGAGUAACACGUGGGCAACCUGCCCUUUGCACUGGGAUAGCCUCGGGAAACCGAGGUUAAUACCGGAUACUCCAUAUUUGUCGCAUGGCGAAUAUGGGAAAGCUCCGGCGGCAAAGGAUGGGCCCGCGGCCUGUUAGCUAGUUGGUGGGGUAGUGGCCUACCAAGGCAAUGAUGGGUAGCCGGGUUGAGAGACCGACCGGCCAGAUUGGGACGUGAGACACGGCCCAGACUCCUACGGGAGGGCAGCAGCA